UGGGGAAUAUUGCACAAUGGGCGCAAGCCUGAUGCAGCCAUGCCGCGUGUAUGAAGAAGGCCUUCGGGUUGUAAAGUACUUUCAGCGAGGAGGAAGGCGUUGUGGUUAAUAACCGCAGCGAUUGACGUUACUCGCAGAAGAAGCACCGGCUAACUCCGUGCCAGCAGCUGCGGUAAUACGGUGGGCGCAAGCGUUAAUCGGAAUUACUGGGCGUAAAGCGCACGCAGGCGGUCUGUCAAGUCGGAUGUGAAAUCCCCGGGCUCAACCUGGGAACUGCAUCCGAAACUGGCAGGCUAGAGUCUUGUAGAGGGGGGUAGAAUUCCAGGUGUAGCGGUGAAAUGCGUAGAGAUCUGGAGGAAUACCGGUGGCGAAGGCGGCCCCCUGGACAAAGACUGACGCUCAGGUGCGAAAGCGUGGGGAGCAAACA
rnacentral:rRNA from 1 species